UAUUUCGUGGCUGACCCAUCUCUAUCCUCAAAAAAUCUUCCAUCCCUAUCCAGUUUCUGACCCUGCCUCCACCUCCCCCUCUCUCUCCCCUACCUCCAGAGCUCGCUUCCGUCGCCCAGGCACCCGUGAGCUUGAGGCCGGCCGCCGCGCGCCCCCAGCCACAACAACUGGCAGCUGUGGCACGCCGCCCGCUGCGACUCCGCCCGCCGCCCACCGCGACUCCGCCCGCUAGCUGCCGGCCGCGACUCCGGCUGCAACAUGGCCGGGGCAUGACGCGACGCUGCUGCAAGACACCACCGCCGCCCACCGCGGCUCCCCCAGCCACCACCUCUGCCAACCACUAGAACACCGCAGGCUGCGGGUGCCUACACGUAGCCACCACCAACCCCUCCCAUCGCCCCGAGGCACGAGCCCACCACGGUGUCGUCCGAAUCGACUUCGAUGCUGCCGGCCAUCCCUCAACAACAGCCAACAGCGCUGCCGCACACCGACCUGAAGGGCAGCAGCAGCCCCCUCCACAUCCGUAAGCACCUGACGAGCCAGAGCAGCAAUAGCUUCUGAACCAAUAACUCUAGCAGAACAAUUUGACUCUCACUGACGGACAGCAAGGUUUCUCACUGUGAUCUGGUUGGCUGUUGCUGCUUCACUUGGUUCUCUGGUUUGUGAAGCGACCUUGAAGUCUUGGACAACUACUGUGACUCAGCUAGCUGCUGGGAGGGACUAUAGGUGGAUCAUCUCGUGCCUCAGCCAACAUGGACAGGGACAACAGCGAUGGCCAUUAAGUUGUGCGGUGCCAGGAAGUAUUUUGUGAAGCCAAAGUCUUUUGUUUAUCUACUAUGGCUAAUAGCAACGACCAGCAAGUUCGAAGGCCGUGCAUGUGUCAUGCUGGGUAUUUUGGUUGUGCGUGGGCUGCUGCAUAUUUAGAUUGUGAAGCAACAUAUGCAGAUUCCAUCGCGCUUCAAGACAUGUGUGCUAGUUGUGGAGUACCAGAUUGUUUAUUCCCUGCAGGCAUGCUUAUGUAGAAGUGGGUGCAUACUGCUAUCAAACUACAGCUUGCUACUUAUAGACUUCCUGGGUCAAGGAAGGUCGAUUUUUUGGCUAUCUUGUGCAGAAGUGGUUGUGUACUGCCAUGAGAUAGCAGCUAGCUAGCUGAAGUUGUGUUGGGAGAUAGAUAGCACCUAGUCGUGAGGUAGCACAAAACUUGUGCUGCCGGUUAGGUAUCUAACUAGAAGGCACUAAUUAUUAUAUAAUUUUGUAUGAAUGAACAACUUGAAUGAUGUUCUAAGAUUAUAUAAUAUUUAUUACUUUAGUGUGGAUGAAUGGCUAUA